rnacentral:rRNA from 1 species
AUUGAACGCUGGCGGCAGGCCUAACACAUGCAAGUCGAGCGGAUGAAGGGAGCUUGCUCCUGGAUUCAGCGUCGGACGGGUGAGUAAUGCCUAGGAAUCUGCCUGGUAGUGGGGGAUAACGUCCGGAAACGGGCGCUAAUACCGCAUACGUCCUGAGGGAGAAAGUUGGGGAUCUUCGGACCUCACGCUAUCAGAUGAGCCUAGGUCGGAUUAGCUAGUUGGUGGGGUAAAGGCCUACCAAGGCGACGAUCCGUAACUGGUCUGAGAGGAUGAUCAGUCACACUGGAACUGAGACACGGUCCAGACUACUACGGGAGGCAGCAGUGGGGAAUAUUGGACAAUGGGCGAAAGCCUGAUCCAGCCAUGCCGCGUGUGUGAAGAAGGUCUUCGGAUUGUAAAGCACUUUAAGUUGGGAGGAAGGGAAGUAAGUUAAUACCUUGCUGUUUUGACGUUACCAACAGAAUAAGCACCGGCUAACUUCGUG